GAGUUUGAUCCUGGCUCAGGACGAACGCUGGCGGCGUGCUUGACACAUGCAAGUCGAACGGAAAGGCCCUGCUUUUGUGGGGUGCUCGAGUGGCGAACGGGUGAGUAACACGUGAGUAACCUGCCCUUGACUUUGGGAUAACUUCAGGAAACUGGGGCUAAUACCGGAUAGGAGCUCCUGCUGCAUGGUGGGGGUUGGAAAGUUUCGGCGGUUGGGGAUGGACUCGCGGCUUAUCAGCUUGUUGGUGGGGUAGUGGCUUACCAAGGCUUUGACGGGCAGCCGGCCUGAGAGGGUGACCGGCCACAUUGGGACUGAGAUACGGCCCAGACUCCUACGGGAGGCAGCAGUGGGGAAUAUUGCACAAUGAGCGGAAGCCUGAUGCAGCAACGCCGCGUGCGGGAUGACGGCCUUCGGGUUGUAAACCGCUUUCGCCUGUGACGAAGCGUGAGUGACGGUAAUGGGUAAAGAAGCACCGGCUAACUACGUGCCAGCAGCCGCGGUGAUACGUAGAGUGCGAGCGUUGUCCGGAUUUAUUGGGCGUAAAGGGCUCGUAGGUGGUUGAUCGCGUCGGAAGUGUAAUCUUGGGGCUUAACCCUGAGCGUGCUUUCGAUACGGGUUGACUUGAGGAAAGUAGGGGAGAAUGGAAUUCCUGGUGGAGCGGUGGAAUGCGCAGAUAUCAGAGGAACACCAGUGGCGAAGCGGGUUCUCUGGGCCUUUCCUGACGCUGAGGAGCGAAAGCGUGGGGAGCGAACAGGCUUAGAUACCCUGGUAGUCCACGCUGUAAACGGUGGGUACUAGGUGUGGGGUCCAUUCCACGGGUUCCGCGCCGUAGCUAACGCUUUAAGUACCCCGCCUGGGGAGUACGGCCGCAAGGCUAAAACUCAAAGGAAUUGACGGGGCCCCGCACAAGCGGCGGAGCAUGCGGAUUAAUUCGAUGCAACGCGUAGAACCUUACCUGGGUUUGACAUGGAUCGGGAGUGCUCAGAGAUGGGUGUGCCUCUUUUGGGGUCGGUUCACAGGUGGUGCAUGGCUGUCGUCAGCUCGUGUCGUGAGAUGUUGGGUUAAGUCCCGCAACGAGCGCAACCCUUGUUCACUGUUGCCAGCACGUUAUGGCGGGGACUCAGUGGAGACCGCCGGGGUCAACUCGAAGGAAGGUGGGGAUGACGUCAAGUCAUCAUGCCCCUUAUGUCCAGGGCUUCACGCAUGCUACAAUGGCUGGUACAGAGAGUGGCGAGCCUGUGAGGGUGAGCGAAUCUCGGAAAGCCGGUCUCAGUUCGGAUUGGGGUCUGCAACUCGACCUCAUGAAGUCGGAGUCGCUAGUAAUCGCAGAUCAGCAACGCUGCGGUGAAUACGUUCCCGGGGCUUGUACACACCGCCCGUCAAGUCAUGAAAGUUGGUAACACCCGAAGCCGGUGGCCUAACCGUUGUGGGGGAGCCGUCGAAGGUGGGACUGGUGAUUAGGACUAAGUCGUAACAAGGUAGCCGUACCGGAAGGUGCGGCUGGAUCACCUCCUU
rnacentral:rRNA from 1 species